GGCAAACAAAACCUCAGUGGUAAAGCCAAACACAGCAGGUGAAUUCAUUUGAAUAAAAAGCUGAUGGACCAUUUUAACAUCAAGCCCGUGAAGGGUUACACGGGAUUGGGACCAGCUGCUUUCACUCACCCUUGUUAAAAGCAGGAACAGGCUGCAGAUAGUAUGGAGCUACCAAACAGAGGAAGCCUUGGCUUUGGAGAUGAAGUCUGAAAAUUCAUCCUCUGAAAAUGAAAAAAAAUGAAGCUUCUAGUUUCUGUGUGCAAGCGCUCAAUAAAAAAGCAGAGUACUUUUGCUGCUGAGAUAUUUCAAGACCUUCGGCUAAACAUCCAGCAAUAAAGAGUGGUUACGGUAAGAAGCACGAAUAUGGCAAAGCUGGACAUGAUGGAGAUUAUUACAGUCAUGGAGUAUGUAGGUGAGACAGAGGAGGAAGACAGGGAAGAGGGAGGCACGUUUGGAAUGUCCACACUCGGCUUUGAGGACGUCAUUGGUGGGAAUGCUCCAGUCACGGCUUGUCCAUCAAGAUUCCACCCGGUUCUUACCUCCCUAAGAAGUCUCGUUUGAUGACUCGACCCAGGUUGAAGAUGAGGAAAGGUGAACACAUUAUGCUGCUGCUUCUAAGUGGACGUGAGGGCUGGUCCUGUCAGUGAAUCUGAGUCCUUCAAUGCGUGUCCUGGAAGAGAGCACCUUUGGAAGGCUGGUUCAUAAAUUCAAGAACACAGGCAAUGUUUUGGGCACACUGUUUUGUGGAUGACUGUUUCUGAAGAGGACUAUGGUAGGAUUGUACUUCCCAACCUUUGGAAUUGGACAUGGCCAUGCAUCUUUUUUUGGACAAUGAAAUGAAGCAGAAGUGAUGUGUGUCACUUUUGGGGGU